AUUGAACGCUGGCGGCAUGCCUUACACAUGCAAGUCGAACGGCAGCACGGGAGCAAUCCUGGUGGCGAGUGGCGUACGGGUGAGUAAUAUAUCGGAACGUGCCCAGUCGUGGGGGAUAACGUAGCGAAAGCUACGCUAAUACCGCAUACGAUCUAUGGAUGAAAGCGGGGGAUCGCAAGACCUCGCGCGAUUGGAGCGGCCGAUAUCAGAUUAGGUAGUUGGUGAGGUAAAGGCGCACCAAGCCGACGAUCUGUAGCUGGUCUGAGAGGACGACCAGCCACACUGGGACUGAGACACGGCCCAGACUCCUACGGGAGGCAGCAGUGGGGAAUUUUGGACAAUGGGCGCAAGCCUGAUCCAGCAAUGCCGCGUGCAGGAUGAAGGCCUUCGGGUUGUGAACUGCUUUUGUACGGAACGAAACGGCGAGCUCUAAUACAGUUUGCUAAUGACGGUACCGUAAGAAUAAGCACCGGCUAACUACGUGCCAGCCGCCGCGGUAA
rnacentral:rRNA from 1 species